GCCUGUCUAGCUCAGUUGGUAGAGUGCAAGGCUCUUAACCUUGUGGUCCUGGGUUCGAGCCCCAGGGUGGGCG
rnacentral:tRNA from 1 species